UACGUAGGGGGCAAGCGUUGUCCGGAAUCAUUGGGCGUAAAGAGCGUGUAGGCGGCCUGAUAAGUCGGCUGUGAAAGUCAAGGGCUCAACCCUUGAAUGCCAGCCGAUACUGUCAGGCUAGAAUCCGGAAGAGGCGAGUGGAAUUCCUGGUGUAGCGGUGAAAUGCGCAGAUAUCAGGAGGAACACCUAUGGCGAAGGCAGCUCGCUGGGACGGUAUUGACGCUGAGACGCGAAAGCGUGGGGAGCGAACAGG
rnacentral:rRNA from 1 species